CCUACGGGAGGCUGUAGUGAGGAAUAUUGGUCAAUGGCCGGAAGGCUGAACCAGCCAAGUCGCGUGAGGGACGACUGCCCUAUGGGUUGUAAACCUCUUUUAUAAGGGAAGAAAAAAUGCCACGUGUAGCAUGAUGCCUGUACCUUAUGAAUAAGCAUCGGCUAACUCCGUGCCAGCAGCCGCGGUAAUACGGAGGAUGCGAGCGUUAUCCGGAUUUAUUGGGGUUAAAGGGGGCGUAGGCGGGUUGUUAAGUUAGUUGGGAAAGGUUGGGGCUUAAACCUGGAUUUGCAAUUAAUACUGUAAGACUUGAGUACAGACGAGGUAGGCGGAAUAAGUUAAGUAGCGGUGAAAUGCUUAGAUAUCACUUAGAACUCCGAUAGCGAAGGCAGCUUACUAGACUGCGACUGACGUUGAAGCACGAGAGCGUGGGUAGCGAACAGGAUUAGAUACCCUAGUAGUC
rnacentral:rRNA from 1 species